rnacentral:rRNA from 1 species
CGACGAUGCGUAGGGGUUCUGAGAGGAAGGUCCCCCACAUUGGAACUGAGACACGGUCCAAACUCCUACGGGAGGCAGCAGUGAGGAAUAUUGGUCAAUGGCCGGAAGGCUGAACCAGCCAAGUCGCGUGAGGGAAUAAGGCCCUACGGGUCGUAAACCUCUUUUGUCAGGGAGCAAGGCCGCCCACGUGUGGACGGAAGGAGAGUACCUGGAGAAAAAGCAUCGGCUAACUCCGUGCCAGCAGCCGCGGUAAUACGGAGGAUGCGAGCGUUAUCCGGAUUUAUUGGGUUUAAAGGGUGCGUAGGCGGCCUGCCAAGCCAGCGGUAAAAUUGCGGGGCUCAACCCCGUACAGCCGUUGAAACUGCCGGGCUCGAGUGGGCGAGAAGUAUGCGGAAUGCGUGGUGUAGCGGUGAAAUGCAUAGAUAUCACGCAGAACCCCGAUUGCGAAGGCAGCAUACCGGCGCCCUACUGACGCUGAGGCACGAAAGUGCGGGGAUCAAACAGGAUUAGAUACCCUGGUAGUCCGCACAGUAAACGAUGAAUGCUAG